rnacentral:lncRNA from 1 species
UACUGCAUAUCUUUACAUAGUGCAAAUAGUACAUAAUUCAUCAAUGAGGAAAUAUAAUACCCUAUUUUUUUACUUUCUAUUUUCCUCUUUGUUCUUUUUCUCUUAUUUCUCAUCCUUAUCUGCAAGCUCAUAUUUAGAGCCACGUGGCCUCACCACUCGCAUCCCAAGGCGAACAUGGAGCUCUAAUGGAUUGAUGGUGACAGCACCCCGGUGGCCAUAGAGUCCUGACACGACAAUGCCCCGAUACCAUCAUGUGAUGGCGUCUCCGUAGCCUGGCAAAUCGAUGAGACGGAGCCCCAAUAGCUGCAU